GUGAAUCAUCGAAUUUUUGAACGCAAAUUGCACUCCCUGGUAUUCCGGGGAGUAUGCCUGUUUGAGGGUCGUUAGAAGAAAAAUCGAGGCGUCUCUCUUUUUUUGCGGGUGAUCGCGUCGGAAUUGAGCCGUCUGUCAAAUGUUAACUUAUGUCAAAGUUGUUUAAAAUUUAUUCAUCCGGUAUGAUUUAAACGUAUUUAAGAUCAAUUUUGAUUAACAACGCCCUAUGACGUACCACCUCAUCUUGUACGUUUGUCUCGA
rnacentral:misc_RNA from 1 species